rnacentral:rRNA from 1 species
GACGUAGGGGGCGAGCGUUGUCCGAAGUGACUGGGCGUAAAGGGCGCGUAGGCGGCCUGUUAAGGGGGGGGUGAAAGGCCCCGGCUCAACCGGGGGAGGGCCCUUUCGACUGGCAGGCUUGAGGGCAGCAGAGGGGCGUGGAAUUCCUGGUGGAGCGGUGAAAUGCGUAGAGAUCAGGAAGAACACCCGUGGCGAAGGCGGCGUUCUGGGCUGUCUCUGACGCUGAGGCGCGAAGGCGUGGGGAGCGAACGGG